UGAGCUGUGGAUGCCCUUGAACUCGGUCC
rnacentral:piRNA from 1 species